GGUCUGGUGGUCUAGUGGGUAAGUUGAAUCUGCGCUGCCAAGUUCCUUUUCGAGCACGCGCGCUAAUGUGGUACAGUAUGAUUCUCGCUUAGGGUGCGAGAGGUCCCGGGUUCAAUCCCCGGCCAGACCC